GGGUAAAGCUCAAGUUUAAAACCUGUUUGUCCUAGACAAACCGGAUUGUAAACUAAGGACGUGCUAUCCAGGCUCUUUGGACCUUCAAGUCCUUUGGAAUAAGGCUUCACAGAGGGUGACAAUCCCGUAGAGGGUCUUGAAAGAGUCUAUUGCGAUGCAUGCUCCAAGAGUCAGGUUGUUUGGGAAUGCAGCCUAAAGUGGGAGGUAAAUCCCUCCUAAAGCUAAAUAUUGGCGAGAGACCGAUAGCAAACAAGUACCGUGAGGGAAAGUUGAAAAGGACUUUGAAAAGAGAGUCAAAAGUACGUGAAAUUGCUUAAAGGGAAGCGUUUGGAGCUAGUUUGGCUAGUCUGUUAUCAGCCUGAGCUUCGGCUUUGGUGUACUAUCAGGCUAUUUGCCGGCCAACUUUCAGGAUUGGAAGGAAAGCUUAGUGCUUUGGAGUCUAAAGAGACCUUUGCGGAAGCCUCUGGUGGAGCGUUGGUCUGCCUUGGCCCUUCUGAACCUAUAGUUGGCUUAAUGGCUCUAAACGGCCCGUCUUGAA
rnacentral:rRNA from 1 species